GCGGCAAUAGCUCAGUUGGUAGAGCGCAACCUUGCCAAGGUUGAGGUCGCGGGUCCGAGCCCCGUUUGCCGCUCAA
rnacentral:tRNA from 1 species